UGUAUGCAUAGCUUAUCAAUGAUUCCAAAAACCGAUAUUUAAGUAAAUUCUAUUCGUUUUCAACUUUUCAUCAAGAAAUGGUGUUCCUCAAAGCCCCGGUGCUUGCGACAACAACGAAGGUGGUGAUGAUGGAGAAGGCGACGCUCUUUUCUGCCUACCUAUUUGGCUUCUUGAUGAUCGUACCGUGAUCAUCAUUCUUCUCCAUU